CCAAAAAUGUCCGAAAAAACAAUUGAAAGUUUUUAGUUUUUCCAGGAAAAAAUUCCAAAGUUGACCAAUUUUUGGAAUUUAAUAAGAAACUUUGAAGGCGCGUAGCUUGGAACCUAUAAGUCGUACGACUUUUCCAGUGGUACCAAACGAUUCGGAAGGUUCCAAAUAUUCCAAAAAUGUCCGAAAAAACAAUUGAAAGUUUUUAGUUUUUCCAGAAAAAAAUUCCAAAGUUGACCAAUUUUUGGAAUUUAAUAAGAAACUUUGAAGGCGCGUAGCUUGGAACCUAUAAGUCGUACGACUUUUCCAGUGGUACCAAACGAUUCGGAAGACUCCAAAUAUUCCAAAAAUGUCCGAAAAAACAAUUGAAAGUUUUUAGUUUUUCCAGGAAAAAAUUCCAAAGUUGACCAUUUUUGGAAUUGAAUAAGAAACUUUGAAGGCGCGUAGCUUGGAACCUAUAAGUCGUACGACUUUUCCAGUGGUACCAAACGAUUCGGAAGG